rnacentral:rRNA from 1 species
UACGUAGGGGGGCGAGCGUUGUCCGGAUUUAUUGGGCGUAAAGAGCGUGUAGGCGGCCAGGUAGGUCUGCUGUGAAAACUCGAGGCUCAACCUCGAGACGUCGGCGGAAACCAUCUGGCUAGAGUCCGGAAGAGGAGAGUGGAAUUCCUGGUGUAGCGGUGAAAUGCGCAGAUAUCAAGCGGAACACCGGUGGCGAAGGCGGCCUUCUGGACAGUGACUGACGCUGAGACGCGAAAGCGUGGGGAGCAAACAGG